GAUGAACGCUAGCGGCAGGCCUAAUACAUGCAAGUCGGACGGGAUUCAGGAGCUUGCUUCUGAUGAGAGUGGCGCACGGGUGCGUAACACGUAUGUAACCUACCUUUAUCAGGGGGAUAGCCUCUCGAAAGAGAGAUUGAGCCCGCAUAAAAUCACAGCACAGCCUUGUGUAAUGAUCAAAUAUUUAUAGGAUAAAGAUGGGCAUGCGGAACAUUAGCUAGAUGGCGGGGUAACGGCCCACCAUGGCGACGAUGGGUAGGGGACCGGAGAGGAUGGCCGCGCACACUGGAACGGAGACAAGGUACGGACGACGAAGGGAGGGAGCAGGAGGGAAUCGUACGAAAGGGGCGAAAGCCUGACGGAGCAACGACGCGUGAGUGAAGAAGGUCUCAGGAUCGUAAAACUCUGUUAUUAGGGAAGAACAAAUGUGUAAGUAACUAUGCACGUCUUGACGGUACCUAAUCAGAAAGCCACGGCUAACUACGUG
rnacentral:rRNA from 1 species